rnacentral:tRNA from 1 species
ACUGAAGUGGUGAAAUUGGUAAACACACUAUCUUGAGGGGAUAGCGUUUGUAAAAAUAUCAAACAUACGGGUUCGAGUCCCGUCUUCAGUA